AGAGUUUGAUCAUGGCUCAGAAUCAACGCUGGCGGCGCGCCUAACACAUGCAAGUCGAACGAGAAAGUGGAGCAAUCCAUGAGUACAGUGGCGUACGGGUGAGUAACGCGUGGGAACGUACCUUUUGGUUCGGAACAACACAGGGAAACUUGUGCUAAUACCGAAUAAGCCCUUACGGGGAAAGAUUUAUCGCCGAAAGAUCGGCCCGCGUCUGAUUAGCUAGUUGGUGGGGUAACGGCCCACCAAGGCGACGAUCAGUAGCUGGUCUGAGAGGAUGAUCAGCCACAUUGGGACUGAGACACGGCCCAAACUCCUACGGGAGGCAGCAGUGGGGAAUAUUGGACAAUGGGCGCAAGCCUGAUCCAGCCAUGCCGCGUGAGUGAUGAAGGCCCUAGGGUUGUAAAGCUCUUUUGUGCGGGAAGAUAAUGACGGUACCGCAAGAAUAAGCCCCGGCUAACUUCGUGCCAGCAGCCGCGGUAAUACGAAGGGGGCUAGCGUUGCUCGGAAUCACUGGGCGUAAAGGGUGCGUAGGCGGGUCUUUAAGUCAGGGGUGAAAUCCUGGAGCUCAACUCCAGAACUGCCUUUGAUACUGAGGAUCUUGAGUUCGGGAGAGGUGAGUGGAACUGCGAGUGUAGAGGUGAAAUUCGUAGAUAUUCGCAAGAACACCAGUGGCGAAGGCGGCUCACUGGCCCGAUACUGACGCUGAGGCACGAAAGCGUGGGGAGCAAACAGGAUUAGAUACCCUAGUAGUCC
rnacentral:rRNA from 1 species